AUGUCUGGGGACGCUCGUCUGCGGCUUAUUAACUUCGUGCUCUCCGCCAUUCCGGUGUACUUAAUCACCAUCUUUAAGCUUGGUGCUUGGGCCAUCAAGCAAAUCGACAAGCUACGGCGGAACUUCCUAUGGCGCUCCCGGCCGGAGGCAGACAAGGGCAUUGCUCUGGUCAACUGGUCCACGGUAUGCCGCCCGAAAUACCUUGGGGGUCUUGGUGUGAUUGAUCUGAAGCAGUUUGGAAGGGCGCUGCGGCUUAGGUGGAAGUGGCUCGAGUGGCGGGACCAGAACAGGCCUUGGGUUGGCUCUCCCACUCCCUGUGACCGAGAUGACGAGGCUCUGUUUGCUGCUGCUACAAAUAUCACCAUGGGCAAUGGUUCGCGGGCUCGCUUCUGGCAAGACCGAUGGCUUCAUGGUGAGGCGCCUUGUCAACUAGCACCUGACGUCUUCCGUCUCUGCUACAGGAAGAAUUUCUCAGUGGCACAGGGACUCGCAGACCAACGCUGGUUGUCGGGUUUGCAUCGCAUAUCCACUGAGCCUGAGCUUCGUCAAUUCACCUUUCUUUGGACAAAGCUGCGGCACUUUGUUCUGGACCCGAACAGGGAAGAUAGUAUAUCUUGGAACCGCACUGUCUCGACGACAUACACUGCCAGAUCGGCAUAUCACGCUCAAUUUCUUGGUUCUGCACCGGUUGCUAAUUACGACAAGUUGUGGAAGGCCAAGGUCGAGGGCAAAUGCAGGUUCUUCUUCUGGCUUUUCCUCAAGGGCAAAAUUCUGACCAACGACAACUUGGCAAGGCGUGCACUCCCGCACAAUCCGAGGUGCAAUCUCUGCGAUCAGGAAGAAGAAUCUGCCUUCCAUCUUAUCCUGCAAUGCCCCUUUGCACGCUCUGUGUGGCACCUGGUGGAGAACUUCCAUUCUGCUCCUGGACUGGCCACGGCUGCCAUGCAUGCCACCUCUAUCAUCUCCUGGUGGAAUGAUGUAAUCUGCCCCCUUGGCAAGAAGACCACUACCACGGCCAUUUACACCUGCUGGAAUAUCUGGAAGGAACGAAACAGACGCGUAUUCGAGCAUAAGACUCUUGCUGAGCAGGGUGUGCUUCUCCUCAUCAACCAGGAAAUUCUUCAACCUAUGCUUUCAUCUCACUGGCUUAGUGAUGUUGAGAACCAGCCAGAACCUGAGCCAGACUAG
rnacentral:rRNA from 1 species